rnacentral:rRNA from 1 species
AUUGAACGCUGGCGGCAGGCUUAACACAUGCAAGUCGAGCGAGCGGCGGACGGGUGAGUAAUUUAUGGGCAACUUCCUGAUGGCGGGGGAUAACUACUGGAAACGGUAGCUACUACCGCAUACUCUCCUAUGUGCCCCUAUGGGAUUAGCUAGGUGGGGGGGUAAUGGCUCACCUAGGCGACGAUCCCUAGCUGGUCUGCGAGGAUGACCAGCCACACUGGAACUGUGACACGGUCCAGACGCCUACGUGAGGCAGCAGUGGGGAAUAUUGCACAAUGGGCGAAAGCCUGAUGCAGCCAUGCCGCGUGUGUGAAGAAGGCCUUCGGGUUGUAAAGCACUUUCAGCGAGGAGGCGUUACUCGCAGAAGAAGCACCGGCUAACUCCGUGCCAGCAGCCGCGGUAAUAC